ACACAGCAGAUAGGUCUUGUGAAGUAUUGAAGCCUAUGGGCAGAGAAUUAGACUGGGGAAAGGAUUAGCUAUAUAACCAGUGACUUUGGGUGGAACUCUAUACCAGCUCCAUCUGUUUUACAGUUGGUUCUGAUGCCAUAAAGAAGGGCAAUGGUAUGCUCUUCUCAGCACAUUGAAUUACCAAAAUAACCUCCUUCAACAAAAUUACAGAUUUAUUUUUGAGAGUCAGAAUGUAACUUUUUAACCUGUAGAUCCACGGCUAAAAGAAAAUAAUAAACACCCAAUAAGCAUGUAUUAUGGGCCAGGCACAGGGUUAGGUACUUUCACUUUUAUUAUCUGAGCCCCUCCUUGAGGAGGGAUAGUAGGAAAUUCAACAGUAACAAUAUGACUAUGAGGUGGCUAACGUGGCUAAUUUGCUACUAGGGAAAGGAGAAUAAGUUUUCUUAGCUAGGUUAGUCUCCUACUCAGUAUAUUCCUAGGGAAAUCAGGCUGGGAAACCCAGUACACAGUAAGUAGAAAGAAGAGGUAUAUGGCUGAAGAAAAUCCACUCCAACCAAAUGAGACUAGCAUUAAUUAUUAUCACUUCUUAACUUCUGGAUCAUCCAACAGCCUACAAUCCAAAUGAAACAUGCACCUGUAUAAAUCUUUAGAUUUGAACGACUUUAAAGUGCAGUAAAGCACUUCGUUAGUGGUCAAAUGCUAACCUUUGCAUUUUUCACUUUGGGAGAUGAGAGGAGAUUAACAGCAAUUUGGGUCUUUAGAGGUUCCUCUGCCUAACACCCUGACACCACAGGGCUUCCCAGGCUUGUUUGGUGGAGAUCAUCUGGUCUUCCUUGGGAUGAGGAUCUAAGCCUGAAAAUCUUAAUGGCAUAUUUACUUUUAUUUUUUCUAUCACAUUUUAUAAAAACAAGAUAAAAAUUACAUAAAUUGUUUGAAAAGAAAUACUCGUAAAUUGAAGCCAGUCCUAGGUUUGUUAAUGAACACUUCUAUUUUUACAGAAAAUGUCAUAAGGUCAUUGUUGACUGCAGAUGAUAAGCAACCCAAUUGGGUGUUUAUUCUAAAUAUAUCACUGCCAGUGUAACCCUUGGCAGCACCCCACUUCCUCCUUCCACCCGGGAUUUCCCACCAGAUGGGGAGAGAGCUCAUUACUAACCCAGAGGAGAGAACUGACGCCAACACCCACAGCAGCAGUUCAGUCAACCCCUUCAUUACUCUUCCUUCUGCCUAAAAUCCCAGCAGCCUCUGGUGAAAACCUUGGCCAUAGAAUGCUGUAAAUCUCAGGAUCCCUCACUAACGCUUCACUUUUCAUGGAGGUCAUGACUAAGUUGAGAAAGACUUUCUUUGCCUGCCCCCAGCUGAGUGACCUGCUUUCUCAGCAGCAUGAUUUCUCUAAUGAGAUUGUUCCACAAAGAGAAGAAUGAAAUCAAGUGUCAGGGGGUUGGAUCAAAGUGGCUCUUAUUCUCUGAGGCACAGGGUCAGACUGCAGGUACAAAUGAGCCGUUGGGUCAGAGAGGGUCCUGUUUAGAGCGUGUCUCCACCCCCAUCAUGUCUCUUCUUUCUCCUUGUCAUGACCUAUCUUUAAAACUAUGGAAAAGAUCUCUCAUGCAAAUGUUUAAAUUGAUUUCAGGAAAGAUGCAUGGAAUAUCUAAUAUGUAUAGCUAUUCUUUGGAGCACUUAGCUCAUCAUAUAUACAUUCCUAUCACAGUCAUCCUGUACACCUUAUCUUAUUAACAGUAAUCCCAUGAGGUAGACUGUUACUUUUCUAAGUUUAUUGAAGAGAAAACUGUGACUCAGAAAUGUUGAGUAACUGUCUCCAAAACAAAGGACGAGUAAAUAGCAGAAGGGAGAUUUUUACCCAGUUUUUAAUCUGUCUUCAAAAUAUAUAAGCCCAACCCUCUGAUACAGCAAACAAUAGAUACCUAGCAUUGAGCUGGGCGAUGUGGGGGAUUCAAAGAUGAAACAGGCCAUGUUAUGGACUCAAGCAGUUUACAGUGUAAUUGUUGAGACAGACAUUAAUGUAAAUUAUAUAUUAAAAAAGAGAGAAUGUGAAAAGUGUUAUGCCAUGGUAGGAGUACAAAAAAAUGCUUUGAUAACAUUAAGGUUAGAGUAAGAUGAUAAUAAAAUAGCUAUCAUUUAUUACAUUAUUUUAAACCUGACAAGAACUUAUAAGAAAGAUACAAUGACUGUUCCCAUAUUAUAGAUACUGAACUUGUGUCUUACUCCAAAUCAUUAAGAAAAUGGGAGAAAGGAAAUUUGGACUUUUGUCUUCUGACCACAGAACCUGUGCUUUUAACUUUUACAUUACACUAAUUCAUUGUCAGUGAAAGAAACUAUUUUGUAGAGAAAUUGUAAUUUUAGUUAGGCAUGAAUGGAUACUUUUUAAAAAAAUAAAAACGUUUUCUGGUGAGAAAGGGGAGUAUGUCAUUCCAGGUAGUGGAAAAAAUGUGUGCAGAGGUACAGAGGGAUAGGAUAGCAAGGUGGAUUCCAGAAUCACAGAAUAGACAAUGAUGUGAAGAGAAGAGAAACAGUCCAUUGCUAAAGCUAAAGCUGAAAAGAUGAUCACAUAGAUUUUUUGGCAUGUAUAGUAUAACUUAUACAUUACAGAAAUCAUAAAGUAGUCAAUUUGAAGGAAGAAUUAUAACCCAUGGAAUGGUUCUCUUGACUAUCUCUAGUUAUUCUUUUUUUACUAGUCUUUUCCAACAUGGUAGUCAUUUUAAAAAAUGAUAUGUAUCUAAUGACUUCAUUUAGUGGAGAAAUAUUAUUCAAUUAUUAUUCAAUUGUUUUCCAAUUCCUAAUGAUGUUCAAGUAACUCAAUAAAUAAGAGAGUAAUGGCCAAGGAAUAUAGAAUCCAAAUGAAGAGAAUGCACUGUCAGAAACAUCUCUUCCUGCUGAACAGUGGGUACGCAGUGGAAAGAGGUGGUGACUUGGGUGUUAGAGGAGGGAAGCGAAACUGAACUAGCUCUUGAGCAUCAACUCAUAAUGUUUCAGGGGGAAGAAAGAGAAAAUAAAGUGGGGAAAUGGAAUAAGCGAAGUGAGAGCUAGCAGUCAAGGAAGGUCGGAGCAUAGACCUCGCGAAAGGGAGUGGUUUCACUCGACAAGUAUGGAGAGACCCUGUUGUGGUCAGGAAUGUCAAGCUUUUAAAAAGGCAUUGGGAGCCCAUUGAAGGUUGUUCAUAGGAUAGUGACAAUAGGAGACCAGCAAAGCAUUAGAAAAACGUUACUCUACAGUGGUGAUUUUGAAUGGUUCAAGAGGGGAGAUACUGGAGAUUUGAAAGACUGGUUGGAAGCCUACAGCAUUUGCUCAGGUAAGUGGUAAUAAUAGUGACAAUGCAAAGGAUGAAUGGGUUGAGAGAUGUUACAGAGCAAAGAUCCACAGGCUUUGUGAAUGACUAAAUUUAGGGAAUAAAGAAGAAAAAAAUCAACUUAAUGCUGGAUGAGUAGAGGAAAAAUUAUUAACAUUAAGAGAAACUAGUUGUCACAAAAUUAGAAGUUCUAUUGGCCAUGUUGAAAUUGAGACCCGUAACAUGAGCAGGCACCAAAUAACAUGGCCAGCAGGCAGAAAUACUUAUAUCUAGAGCUCAGAACAUCCUGUUGUUAAGCCCUGGUCUGCAUAGGCAUAGGAGCACCCCUGGAAGAGUGUGCAGAGAAAAGAUCAGCGGCAGAAACGUAAGGAGUAUCUCCAUACUGUGGUGACAAGAAAAUGAUCAGCCAUCUAAGGAAACAGUAGAACCUUAGUAAGAUGUUAUUGAAACAAACAGAGGAGAGUCAGCAGAGUCAAAGCUGCAGUGCCCUCCGCGAGAAUGUGCCUGUUGGUGUUGUCAGUCUUCUGGGAAGGAAAUACUAUAGAAGAGUGUUUGGGAUAGAAGUCAGCAGGUUAGACUUAACAGGGAACAAGGGGGCAGAAGCAAUAAAUGUAAUUCAUUCUUUUAAAAAUGUUGGCAUUAAAAGGAAAGGAGGAUUGGCUAGUGACUUGAGGAAAUAGCACUGAUAAAGAAAAGUUUUUGCUAUGGAAAACAUAAUUCUAUCAAUGUGUUUUGAUAGGGACCUUGCAACUCAAAAGCUU
rnacentral:lncRNA from 1 species